rnacentral:rRNA from 1 species
UCGGAAUCACUGGGCGUAAAGGGCGCGUAGACGGCUGAUCAAGUCGGGGGUGAAAGCCUGUGGCUCAACCACAGAAUUGCCUUCGAUACUGGUUGGCUUGAGACCGGAAGAGGUAAGUGGAACUGCGAGUGUAGAGGUGAAAUUCGUAGAUAUUCGCAAGAACACCAGUGGCGAAGGCGGCUUACUGGUCCGGUUCUGACGCUGAGGCGCGAAAGCGUGGGGAGCAAACAGG